CAGCGUGCACCCUUCUUUGUGCUCGGGUUAGGAGGAGCUAGGCUGCCAUCGGGCCGGUGCAGAUACGGGGUUGCUCUUUUGCUCAUAAGAGGGGCUUCGCUGGCAGUCUGAACGGCAAGCUUGAAGCCAGAGGCCAAGAAGAGUAAGACGGCCGCAAAGAAAAAUGACAAAGAGGCAGCAGGAGAGGGCCCAGCCCUGUAUGAGGACCCCCCAGAUCAGAAAACCUCACCCAGUGGCAAACCUGCCACACUCAAGAUCUGCUCUUGGAAUGUGGAUGGGCUUCGAGCCUGGAUUAAGAAGAAAGGAUUAGAUUGGGUAAAGGAAGAAGCCCCAGAUAUACUGUGCCUUCAAGAGACCAAAUGUUCAGAGAACAAACUACCAGCUGAACUUCAGGAGCUGCCUGGACUCUCUCAUCAAUACUGGUCAGCUCCUUCGGACAAGGAAGGGUACAGUGGCGUGGGCCUGCUUUCCCGCCAGUGCCCACUCAAAGUUUCUUACGGCAUAGGCGAUGAGGAGCAUGAUCAGGAAGGCCGGGUGAUUGUGGCUGAAUUUGACUCGUUUGUGCUGGUAACAGCAUAUGUACCUAAUGCAGGCCGAGGUCUGGUACGACUGGAGUACCGGCAGCGCUGGGAUGAAGCCUUUCGCAAGUUCCUG
rnacentral:misc_RNA from 1 species